CACAAAUAAGUAUGUUUAAGGAAAAAUUACUAUUUUCCAAAACCAAAUGAAAAAAGUUUUAGUGUGAAGAAUGGCAUCAUGUUAUGUAAUUGGGAAUCUCUUUAACUCCUCGCUUAAUAGAAGCAGCUAGAUUGACACCUCGGCUUCUGUAGUCAGUCUGCUGCAGUAUUUUGUUUUAGUUGAAGUUGAUGGAGAAAACCUGCCUCACCCAGAUGUGCAGCUGGGAGCACCUCACAGAUCCCCUAAAAGGGGUUUGCCUCCCACCCACUCCAGAGGGUCCUGGAUUUGCUGGCCUCAGCUUCCUGGAGGCAGUGUCAGCUCAUAGAGCUCCACAGUGAUGGGGGAGGCUGGACCUGGGAGAUGCUGACAACCAUUAGAAGAGAAGAGGACCCAGCUCCCAGACUGUAUAAUGGGAAGCUGAUCAAACUUGGCUCCUGGCAAGUUUUUCUUUGGUGCAUUGUCAUUAGCUAAGCACAAGUCUAUCAACCAACUUCAAUAUGAGUGCUGCUGUACCGACUGAAGAGGAAUCUCUCAGUCCUUGGUCUCUGCCACUGACACACUUACGUUUUUGAGGAAACUCUCCAUCUGCACUUAGCUGGAUCAGCUGCACAAGCAUUACACCCUAGGAGUGCAGUGGAAUCCAUGCAAAGUCCAGCCACCGGAACUGGAGCAAGGACAGCAGGUGGGACCUCCACCCAGGAGGGGAACUCUAGAGGUAUGCCACCAAAACAAGCCAGUACUGCCCCCAAACAAGCUGGCACCUGUUUCUGUUACUUAUCAAGACCCCCACUCAGCCUAGGGUAGCUAGGACUGAGAAAGGAUGUGG